rnacentral:miRNA from 1 species
AAAAGUGCAACGACUCAACAAAUUCCACUGGGCAUCUUUAUUAAUAGUAAUAAAGAUGCCUAGUGGAAUUUGUUGAGUCGUUGCACUUAUUUA